rnacentral:rRNA from 1 species
UCCGCCAGGGUACUACAAGCGCUAGCUUAAAACCCAAAGGACUUGACGGUGUCUCAGACCCACCUAGAGGAGCCUGUUCUAGAACCGAUAUUCCUCGUUAAACCUCACCAUCCCUUGUUUCCACAGCCUAUAUACCGCCGUCGCAAGCUUACCCUGUGAAGGACUAACAGUAAGCAAAAUGGAUAAUAUCCAAAACGUCAGGUCGAGGUGUAGCUUACGGGGUGGCAAGAAAUGGGCUACAUUUUCUACUCAGAAUAAACGAACGGCAUUAUGAAAUUAAUUCCUGAAGGUGGAUUUAGAAGUAAAAA